AGUCAUAUGCUUGUCUCAAAGAUUAAGCCAUGCAUGUCUAAGUACAAACGAAAGUAAUGUGAAACCGCGAAAGGCUCAUUAAAUCAGUUAUGGUUCCUUAGAUUGUACCCACGUUACUUGGAUAACUGUGGUAAUUCUAGAGCUAAUACAUGCUUACAGAACUCCGACCUGAAGGGGAAGGUGUGCUCUUAUUAGUCUUAAAACCAAUAGGCGUCGGGUUCGCCCGGCGCCGUUCAAAUUGAUGAACCUGAAUAACUAUUGCAGAUCGCACGGUCCAGUACCGGCGACGUGUCUUUCAAAUGUCUGCCUUAUCAACUGUCGAUGGUAGGUUCUGCGCCUACCAUGGUUGUAACGGGUAACGGGGAAUCAGGGUUCGAUUCCGGAGAGGGAGCCUGAGAAACGGCUACCACAUCCAAGGAAGGCAGCAGGCGCGCAAAUUACCCACUCCCGGCACGGGGAGGUAGUGACGAAAAAUAACGAUACGGGACUCAUCCGAGGCCCCGUAAUCGGAAUGAGUACACUUUAAAUCCUUUAACGAGGAUCAACUGGAGGGCAAGUCCGGUGCCAGCAGCCGCGGUAAUUCCUGCUCCGGUAGCGUAU
rnacentral:rRNA from 1 species